CCUGACCUCAGGAGAUCCUUGGCCUCCCAAAGUGUUGGGAUUACAGGUGUGAGCCACUGCGCCUGAUGAGAGACUUACUAUUGACCACUUCCCUUUCCCCACCACAGUUACAAACAGGGGCAGUGACAUUCCAGUGGCUGCAAAAAGACACAGGGAAGAGGGGUUAAAGGCAUAAUCUGGACCCCAGCUAGGUCAGCCAAAAAUGCCCUUUUACACAUGUAAAGCACAGUCUAGGGCCUGGCAUGAAGUAAGUGUUCAAACAAAUGGUAGCUGGUAUUAUUAGCACUGUAGUUGGUGGUGGUGGUGACUCAACAGGCAGGAUUUGCAGCCUAUGGGCAUGUGGGGAGCUAGUUCAGCCUUGAGUAGCCCCCACGUGCCUCCUGUGGAGCACUGGUAUGGGUGGGGUAUCCAGGGACAACAGGAGAAAUGGGAUGUGGGGUAAGUGAGCUUGGGGUGGGGUAGAGUCAGAAUAGUUAAUUGGAAUUGCCCCCCUAUCAGGACAGAUCCUGGUGGUGCUGCCAAGGUGGGGUGUCAAGGUCUCCGUGCGAUGUCAGGCAUUACCCUUUGGUUAUGAGGUCAUAGGAGGGUCUGAGGGUCCUAAGGUAGGAAGGCAUGGCUGGUCCUAGGUGGUACAGAAAUGUUGCACUUUUUUAACAACUGAAGCAGCUAUAGUAGUGUGUCCCUGCUGGCCCUCGGCCCUGUGGGUUGGGGAAAUGUGGCAGGAGGAAGGUGACCCUCACUCUCCCCAGCCUCUGCUGUGUUGCAGGGGACGCUAUGAAGCACAUCAAGGUUCCAACUUAUGCCAAGGUCCAGUCCAUCACAAAGGUGUUUUACACCCAAAGUGGCAUCUGCCAUUUCCCACGGCAAACAGACCAGCUCACGUGAGUCCACAUGGGGAAAGGUCCCCAGAGCUGCUCCUAUCCUAUGCCUAUGGCCCAUCUGGACCCUCCGGCCAGACUCACCCUUGCUCUGCAGCUGUCGAGCCCCCGCCGCCUUGCUGUGCAUGGGUAGGCAUGAGAGUGACUAAGGCGGGGUCUGGACCAAUCGGUGGCCCUCCCUCCCGGCUGUCUGCCUCCAAGGACCUCAGCUCCUUGUAGGGCUGCCUCCGCCCCUGCCGUCAUUGGCAAGGCGUGGACAUGGGGGCUGCUUUCCUGGGGGGAAACAGUGGGGUUUCCAAGUGCUCCCUCAGCAGACCCGGCGCAGGAGAGGGCUCGCUAAAUCCUUAAGGUGCUAAAGGGAGAGAAUAUCUCCCUGCUUUUUAUUUCUCUACAUUCUGUUGAAGGGAUCCAUAGCUGGGUUGCUUAGUGCCAAUUUACCCCAUAGUUUAGGGAAGAAGUAGUUUACGUUUUUGCUUACCGCUUCUCUCAUCCCUCAGAACCUGUGUUAGUCAGGGUUGCCUCACUGCUAAAACAAACAGCCCCUAAGUCCCAGUUGCUUAAACCAAUAAAGACGUCUUUCCUACAUGGCCGUCCAAUCUGAUGUUGGGCAGGUGACCUUCCACCUGCUGAUCCGGGGACCCAGGCUUCUCCCACCUGGUAGCUCUGCCAUCCCCUAGGGCCUCACAGCCCUCCUCUGAGUCCUCUACAUCCAGCCAGGGAAAGGGGAGAGAGACUGAGCAUGGAGAGAAUACACCUGCUCUGAACCGCCUUGGCCUGGAGCUAAGCGGUGUCACUUCCUCUCCCAUUCCACUGGUGAGAACAAGUCACAUGACUCCUAGAUGUGAGAGGGCUGGGUUGAUUCAUGGAGCCAUGCGCUCAGCAGGAAGAGGAGGAAGGGUACCACAGUGGCCUACAUGUCUUGUGCAGCCACCAUGCUAAAUUCGAAGCUCCUUCCGGUAUCAGUUUCUUAGGGUUGCCAUAAUAAAGUACCCCAAACUCAGUGGCUUAACACAACAGAAAUUGGCGAUCUCACAUUUUUGGAGGCUGGAAGUCAGAUCAAGCUGUGGGCAGGGUCAAGCUUUCUCUGAAACCUAUAGGGACAAACACUUUCUUGCCCUUCCUGGCUUCUGGUGGCCACCAGCAUCCUUGGCCUUCCUCAGCUUCCAGCUGCAGCACUCCAGGCUCUGCGUUCCUCGUCACGUGGCUGUCUACCUGUGUGUCACUCUGGCUUCCCAUGACUGUCUCCUUAGAAGGGCAUCAAUCGUAUUGGAUUAGGGGCCCACGCCUCCAGUAUGUCCUCAUCUUAACGAAUUACAUUUGCAGUGGUCCUAUUGCCAAAUGAGGUGGCACUGGCAGUUAGAACUUGGAAAAAAAAAAACUUAAAUAUUUUUGGGCCAGGCGCAGUGGCUCACGCCUGUAAUCCCAGCACUUUGGGAGGCCGACGUGGGCAGAUCACCUGAAGUCAGGAGUUGGAGACCAUCCUGGCCAACAUGGUGAAACCCUGUCUCUACUAAAAAUACAAAAAUUAGCCGGGCGUGAUGGCGGGUGCCUGUAAUCCCAGCUACUCGGGAGGCUGAGGCAGGAGAAUCGCUUGAACCUGGGAGGCUGAGGCAGGAGAAUCGCUUGAACCUGGGAGGCUGAGGCAGGAGAAUCGCUUGAACCUGGGAGGCUGAGGCAGGAGAAUCGCUUGAACCUGGGAGGCUGAGGCAGGAGAAUCGCUUGAACCUGGGAAGCUGAGGCAGGCGAAUCGCUUGAACCUGGGAGGCUGAGGCAGGAGAAUCGCUUGAACCUGGGAGGCAGAGGUUAUGGUGAGCCGAGAUCGCACCGCUGCACUUCAGCCUGGGUGACAGAGCAAGACUCUGUCUCAAAAAUAAAUAAAUAAAUAGUCUUUUGGGAGGAACAAUUCAUUCCAUACCACCUCCCUUCUGACAGCUAAACCUUGGUUACUCAUAUUAUCUUGAUGGGCCUCCCUCCUUCUCUCGGAAACAGUUCUCUUGCAGAAUCCCAGACAUGUCGAAUGAUUGUCCGUGGACCCAUCUGAUGUUGGUGCUCACAGAAUCUGAUUGCUUAGAAGGCCUCGGGCAGCAAGUCUUCAAGCUCCUUAGAAAAGGAAUGGCUGCAGCAUUUCUCAACUGGGAUUCUGUGAAUAAAUGAAACCCUACAGAAAAUGACACCAGUGACUUUUCUCAGUCCUCCCAGGAAUGACACCAUUCUACAGGCAUGGGAAAGAAGUUGAUUCAUUACAAACAGGGGCUGUCCCCGAAUGUUAGGGCUUAAUUCUUUCUGGAAGUCAGUUAAGAAAGGCUGGUGGGGAGUUUAUUUAGGUAUUUAAUGAAUACCUGUUUGAUAUCUGCGGGCAUUGUUCUAAGCCCUACACUGUCCAGUUCGGUAGUCAUGAUCCAACCACAUGUCCAUUGAGCAUUUGCAAUGAGUCUUAUCCAAAUUGUGAUGUACUCUAAGUAUAAAACACACACUGAAUUUCAAAGAUUUAGUAUAAUGAAAUGUAAAAUUUCUCAUUAAUAAUUUUUAUAUUGAAUUUUAUGUUGAAAUGACCAUACUUGGAUAGAUUGGGCUAAAUCAGAGGUUGACAAACUUUCCCUCUGAAAGACUGGAUAGUAAGAAUUUUCAGCUUUGUGGAUCACCUGGUCUCAACUAUGCAACUACUCAACUCUGCCAUUGCAGUGCAAAAUCAGCCAUAGACAAUAUAAAAACAAAUGGGCAUGGCUUGUUCCAAUAAAACUUUAUUUAAAAAAAACAGAUGGUGGGCCAGAUUUCCCCCACAGGCUGUAUAGUUUGCUGAUUUCUGUGUUAAAUAAAAUAUUAAAUAUAUUAA